rnacentral:rRNA from 1 species
UACGGGGGGGCAAGCGUUGUUCGGAAUUACUGGGCGUAAAGGGCCAGUAGGCGGCCAACUAAGUCCGACGUGAAAUCCCAAGGCUUAACCCUGGAACUGCGUCGGAUACUGGAUGGCUUGAAUCCGGGAGAGGGAUGUGGAAUUCCAGGUGUAGCGGUGAAAUGCGUAGAUAUCUGGAGGAACACCGGUGGCGAAGGCGGCGAUCCUGGACCGGUAUUGACGCUGAGGCGCGAAAGCUAGGGAGGCGACCGGG